rnacentral:rRNA from 1 species
GUAGGUGGCAAGCGUUGUCCGGAAUUAUUGGGCGUAAAGCGCGCGCAGGCGGUUCUUUAAGUCUGAUGUGAAAGCCCACGGCUCAACCGUGGAGGGUCAUUGGAAACUGGAGAACUUGAGUACAGAAGAGGAAAGCGGAAUUCCACGUGUAGCGGUGAAAUGCGUAGAGAUGUGGAGGAACACCAGUGGCGAAGGCGGCUUUCUGGUCUGUAACUGACGCUGAGGCGCGAAAGCGUGGGGAGCAAACAGGGAUUAGACACCCUGGUAGUCCACGCCGUAAACGAUGAGUGCUAAGUGUUAGGGGGGUUUCCGCCCCCUUAGUGCUGCAGCUAACGCAUUAAGCACUCCGCCUGGGGAGUACGGCCGCAAGGCUG